rnacentral:rRNA from 1 species
GGCAACCCUGACGGAGCAACGCCGCGUGAGGGAGGAAGGCUCUUGGGUUGUAAACCUCUUUUCUCAGGGAAGAAGCUCUGACGGUACCUGAGGAAUCAGCCUCGGCUAACUCCGUGCCAGCAGCCGCGGUAAUACGGAGGAGGCAAGCGUUAUCCGGAAUUAUUGGGCGUAAAGCGUCCGCAGGUGGCGAUUCAAGUCUGCUGUCAAAGCACGGGGCUUAACUCCGUUAAGGCAGUGGAAACUGAAUGGCUAGAGUGCCGUAGGGGUAGAGGGAAUUCCCGGUGUAGCGGUGAAAUGCGUAGAGAUCGGGAAGAACAUCGGUGGCGAAAGCGCUCUACUGGACCACACCUGACACUCAGAGGACGAAAGCUAGGGGAGCG